rnacentral:rRNA from 1 species
GUGCAGCCGCCGCGGUAACACCGGCAGCCCGAGUGAUGGCCGAUAUUAUUGGGCCUAAAGCGUCCGUAGCUGGCCGCGCAAGUUCGUCGGGAAAUCCACUCGCUUAACGAGUGGGCGUCCGGCGAAAACUGUGCGGCUUGGGACCGGAAGAUCCAAGGGGUACGUCCGGGGUAGGAGUGAAAUCCUGUAAUCCUGGACGGACCACCGAUGGCGAAAGCACCUUGGAAGGACGGAUCCGACAGUGAGGGACGAAAGCUAGGGUCCCGAACCGGAUUAGAAACCCGGGUAGUCC